CAGCAGCCGCGGGAAUACGAAGGGGGCUAGCGUUGUUCGGAAUCACUGGGCGUAAAGGGUGCGUAGGCGGGCAUUUAAGUCAGGGGUGAAAUCCCGAGGCUCAACCUCGGAACUGCCCUUGAUACUGGAUGUCUUGAGUCCGGAAGAGGUGAGUGGAACUGCGAGUGUAGAGGUGAAAUUCGUAGAUAUUCGCAAGAACACCGGUGGCGAAGGCGGCUCACUGGUCCGGAACUGACGCUGAGGCACGACAGCGUGGGGAGCAAACAGGAUUAGAUACCCCCGUAGUCCCUGUCUCUUAUAC
rnacentral:rRNA from 1 species